UACGGAGGGGGCAAGCGUUAUCCGGAUUUACUGGGUGUAAAGGGAGCGUAGACGGCGGUGCAAGCCAGAUGUGAAAACCCGCGGCUCAACUGCGGGACUGCAUUGGAAACUGGCGGGCUUGAGUGCCGGAGAGGCAAGCGGAAUUCCUAGUGUAGCGGUGAAAUGCGUAGAUAUUAGGAGGAACACCAGUGGCGAAGGCGGCUUGCUGGACGGUAACUGACGUUGAGGCUCGAAAGCAUGGGGAGCAAACAGG
rnacentral:rRNA from 1 species